rnacentral:rRNA from 1 species
AUGAUGAUGGAGAUGCUGUGCAGAACUGGAAUUAACCGAUGCAACUCCCAGAAGGAUUGGUCAGUGCUGCCGGCUGGCGUCAAGUUCGAUCCCACGGAUCAAGAGCUGAUCGAGCACCUUGAGGCCAAAGUGAGUGAUGACAGCGCGAGAUCUCACCCUCUCAUCGAGUUGUUCAUACCAACCAUCGACACCGAGCACGGCAUAUGCUACACCCAUCCUGAGAAACUUCCAGGUAUCACACUGAGUGGUCUAAGCAAGCAUUUCUUCCAGCGCAAUUCCAGGGUGUUCAAAAGGGGCACGUGGACGCGUCACAAGAUACAGUCGGAGUGCGACAUGCACGCGAUGUGGCACAAGAUCGGCAAUACCUUGCCGGUGAUGGUAAACGGCCGGCAGACGGGCAGCAAAAAGGUUCUGGUGCUGCACACCAACAAGAACUUCGACCAGCAGAGGACCAACUGGGUGAUGCACCAGUACCACCUCGGGGACUUGGAGCAAGAGAAGGAGCGGGAGCUGGUUCUCUGCAAGAUUUUCUACCAGAUGAACACUAGGGCCAGGACUAAAAAGAUUAUAAGUCGAGCAAGUUUCAACUGGGCUAUAGACUGCCCAGGCUUGGUUUUGUUUUUAACAGGCCCAGCCGAUGACGACAACGGGGCACAAAGAUCCAGCAGACUUUACGCAGCUAGAAACUUCCCCUUGGAUCACGAUCCGAUCGUCAAGUCUAUUCUUAGGAGGAGCAUAUAA